UACGGGGGGGGCAAGCGUUGUUCGGAAUUACUGGGCGUAAAGGGCUCGUAGGCGGCCAACUAAGUCGGAUGUGAAAUCCCUCGGCUUAACCAAGGAAGUGCAUCCGAAACUGCAGAGCUUGAGUACUUAAGAGGAUCGCGGAAUUCCCGGUGUAGAGGUGAAAUUCGUAGAUAUCGGGAGGAACACCAGUGGCGAAGGCGGCUCUCUAGUACGGUACUGACGCUGAGACGCGAAAGCGUGGGGAGCGAACAGG
rnacentral:rRNA from 1 species